GCAGUGGGGAGGUGUGCUGGAUAGUGUAAUCAGGGUGAGGAAGCAAAACUAAAGUGAGAAAAGCAAGAGAGGAAGGUGCAGCCGGGCAAACCUGACAGAGGUAGCAUGACUCAAAGUUUUCAAAGUUUUUUGAAUAAAAUCCAAAUAGGAUUCAUUCUACUAAAAUAGGUUUUAAACUGAGGUUUUACAGAUCAACGUGUUAGUCCCUACUCCAUCUAGAUUUGUUCAGACAAACCCAAAUUUGAGGAUUCCUUUUGGUAACUAGAUGGAAGAAAAUGGUGGCGGGUCCUGUUCAGCUGGUUGAUUCAGGAAAGUAAUGAUUUCCAAGCCACCUGAGCGCAGCAAUGAGGGCCAGCAUUGCUCAACAGCUCCACCUCCUGGCUGACAGAUUGGGAGCAGAUGCCAUCCUAAAAGCAGGGAAGGACUUCACCCAGCGCUUCCUCAUUGCUGUCUAUAACAUGUGUCUGCAUGCUGCCCCUGAAGUCAGGCCCCACGGACCGGCUAUUCUCCAGGAACUGGCCCUCGACAGGGAUCUUGUGAAACUCUGGAACGGGAUCAUUACUGAAAAAGAUUAACAACUGGAGAAGAUCUUAAGGAAGAGGAUGAAGAAGUAGAACAAGAAGAAACUGGCAUUCUAAACCCUGUCCCUGUACCUAUCCUUGAUCCCAAACCCUGAGCAGUGUUAACCACUGCACCACCCACCAUUGUUGUUGACAAUGAACAAAUAAAUGGAAACAUUGUUAUUGUUGUUAAAAGACUGC